rnacentral:rRNA from 1 species
AGUGAACGCUGGCGGUAGGCCUAACACAUGCAAGUCGAACGGCAGCACAGUAAGAGCUUGCUCUUACGGGUGGCGAGUGGCGGACGGGUGAGGAAUACAUCGGAAUCUACUUUUUCGUGGGGGAUAACGUAGGGAAACUUACGCUAAUACCGCAUACGACCUACGGUUGAAAGCAGGGGAUCUUCGGACCUUGCGCGAUUGAAUGAGCCGAUGUCGGAUUAGCUAGUUGGCGGGGUAAAGGCCCACCAAGGCGACGAUCCGUAGCUGGUCUGAGAGGAUGAUCAGCCACACUGGAACUGAGACACGGUCCAGACUCCUACGGGAGGCAGCAGUGGGGAAUAUUGGACAAUGGGCGCAAGCAUGAUCCAGCCAUACCGCGUGGGUGAAGAAGGACUUCGGGUUGUAAAGCCCUUUUGUUGGGAAAGAAAAGCAGCAGGUUAAUACCCCGCUGUUAUGACGGUACCCAAAGAAUAAGCACCGGCUAACUUCGUG